GAUGGAGCCUUUGGAGGAGUCAAGGACAUUUCCCCGACUACGUCCUUCUACCUCCAGAGCAAGUUAGUAUUUCUUCCGUUUUUGUUUUGUUUUUCUUUUCUUCCGACCAGUGUUACUGUUGGGACUACACAAGGGGAAUCUGCCUGUCACGCAUUUCCGUACCAAAGCUGCCCUUGGGCUUCUCAGAGAAAUCUUGGAGGCCUGAGUUCACAGCUCUGCUGGAGAUUGACAGCUGGAAUAUGAUGUUCAAAUGAGGAACAUCCUGUUAAGGUAAAAGUAGACAUAGCUACUAGAUCGAGCUGCAAAGGAGAAGAGGAGGAAGGAUUUUCAAAUUUCCUUUCCUGGAGAAAACCAUCAACUCGUGUUCAUAAUAGGACAUAAUCUGUAAGCAAGUGGCUGAAAGGUGGUCUCAAGUUCCACGUAGAGGGCCCACUGGACUGAGUGGUUUCUGUUGUGCCAAUAAGGAGGAAAAGAGAAGCUUCUUCACCUUUGAGUGCAGUCGGGUCUUCAUUCAAUGGCAGCAAUGACACAGUGGUGAAGAUGUUCGAGAUGUUACCACUGGAACUUCUCUCGCUUCACCACCCCUGACCACAGACGUUUGGGAGGAGGAAGCCUGAACAAAAGAAAAAAGAAAAAAGAAAAAAAAAUCAAAGAAAAAAGGAAGAGAAGAAAGAAAAAAGAAAGAUCAGUAGCUCGGAGCUGUGGGAAAGUGUGACCAAGGCGAGCAGUAUCCCCAGUGCAAGUUGUCAUUGAGUGAGGACCGCCACUUAGGAGAGCUAAGGGUCAAUCUGGAACUCCUGAUCUCAGACAAUUCAGUACGUUAUCAGCCUUUCUAAAUGGAGAAGAACCAACACAGUGAGCUACCCCAGUG